rnacentral:rRNA from 1 species
GAUGAACGCUAGCUACAGGCUUAACACAUGCAAGUCGAGGGGCAUCAUGUCGGUUGCUUGCAACCGAUGAUGGCGACCGGCGAAUGGGUGAGUGACGCGUAUCCAACCUGCCCCCGGCCGGGGUAUAACCCGUCGAAAGGCGGCCUAAUCCCCCAUGUAGUCCUCUGAGGUCCUCCGAUGAGGAUGAAAGGUAUUUUUCCGGCCGGUCGAUGGGGAUGCGUCCGAUUAGCUUGCUGGCGGGGUAACGGCCCACCAGGGCUUCGAUCGGUAGGGGUUCUGAGAGGAAGGUCCCCCACACUGGUACUGAGACACGGACCAGACUCCUACGGGAGGCAGCAGUGAGGAAUAUUGGUCAAUGGGCGGAAGCCUGAACCAGCCAAGUAGCGUGCAGGAUGACGGCCCUAUGGGUUGUAAACUGCUUUUGCGCGGGGAUAAAUUGGGGAACGUGUUCCCCUUUGCAGGUACCGCGCGAAUAAGGACCGGCUAAUUCCGUGCCAGCAGCCGCGGUAAUACGGAAGGUCCUGGCGUUAUCCGGAUUUAUUGGGUUUAAAGGGAGCGCAGGCCGCCCCUUAAGCGUGUUGUGAAACCCGGGCGCCCAACGCCCGGCCUGCAGCGCGAACUGGGGGGCUUGAGUGCGCGCAACGCCGGCGGAAUUCGUCGUGUAGCGGUGAAAUGCUUAGAUAUGACGAGGAACCCCGAUUGCGAAGGCAGCCGGCGGGAGCGCAACUGACGCUUAUGCUCGAAGGCGCGGGUAUCGAACAGG